UUCCCUUCGGGGAGCUAGUAGAGUGGCGCACGGGUGAGUAACACGUAGGUAAUCUACCUUUGGAUGGGGAAUAACAACCGGAAACGGUUGCUAAUACCGCAUAAUGCAGCGGCACCUAAUGGUGACAGUUGUUAAAGCGGGGGAUCGUAAGACCUCGCGUCUAAAGAGGAGCCUGCGGCAGAUUAGCUAGUUGGUAAGGUAACGGCUUACCAAGGCGAUGAUCUGUAGCCGGCCUGAGAGGGCGGUCGGCCACACUGACACUGACAUACGGGUCAGACUCCUACGGGAGGCAGCAGUCGGGAAUUUUGGGCAAUGGGCGAAAGCCUGACCCAGCAACGCCGCGUGAAGGAUGAAAUCCUUCGGGAUGUAAACUUCGCAAGAACGGGAAGAAUAAGCCGGUGCCAACACCACCGGUGAUGACGGUACUGUUUGUAAGCUCCGGCUAACUCCGUGCCAGCAGCCGCGGUAAUACGGGGGGAGCAAGCGUUGUUCGGAUUUACUGGGCGUAAAGGGCGGGUAGGCGGCCACCGCAAGUCAGUUGUGAAAUCUCCGGGCUUAACCCGGAAAGGUCAACUGAUACUGCGGGGCUAGAGUGCAGAAGGGGCAACUGGAAUUCUCGGUGUAGCGGUGAAAUGCGUAGAUAUCGAGAGGAACACCUGCGGCGAAGGCGGGUUGCUGGGCUGACACUGACGCUGAACUGCGAAAGCUAGGGGAGCGAACGGGAUUAGAUACCCCGGUAGUCCUAGCCUUAAACGAUGAAUGCUUGGUGUCUGGGGUUUUAUAGUCCCCGGGUGCCGUCGCUAACGCUUUAAGCAUUCCGCCUGGGGAGUACGGUCGCAAAGACUG
rnacentral:rRNA from 1 species